UGGGGAAUAUUGCACAAUGGGCGCAAGCCUGAUGCAGCCAUGCCGCGUGUAUGAAGAAGGCCUUCGGGUUGUAAAGUACUUUCAGCGGGGAGGAAGGGAGUAAAGUUAAUACCUUUGCUCAUUGACGUUACCCGCAGAAGAAGCACCGGCUAACUCCGUGCCAGCAGCCGCGGUAAUACGGAGGGUGCAGGCGUUAAUCGGAAUUACUGGGCGUAAAGCGCACGCAGGCGGUUUGUUAAGUCAGAUGUGAAAUCCCCGGGCUCAACCUGGGAACUGCAUCUGAUACUGGCAAGCUUGAGUCUCGUAGAGGGGGGUAGAAUUCCAGGUGUAGCGGUGAAAUGCGUAGAGAUCUGGAGGAAUACCGGUGGCGAAGGCGGCCCCCUGGACGAAGACUGACGCUCAGGUGCAAAAGCGUGGGGAGCAAACAGG
rnacentral:rRNA from 1 species